rnacentral:rRNA from 1 species
UGGGGAAUAUUGGACAAUGGGCGGAAGCCUGAUCCAGCCAUGCCGCGUGUGUGAAGAAGGCCUUUUGGUUGUAAAGCACUUUAAGCGAGGAGGAGGCUACUUGGAUUAAUACUCUAGGAUAGUGGACGUUACUCGCAGAAUAAGCACCGGCUAACUCUGUGCCAGCAGCCGCGGUAAUACAGAGGGUGCGAGCGUUAAUCGGAUUUACUGGGCGUAAAGCGUGCGUAGGCGGCUUCUUAAGUCGGAUGUGAAAUCCCUGAGCUUAACUUAGGAAUUGCAUUCGAUACUGGGAAGCUAGAGUAUGGGAGAGGAUGGUAGAAUUCCAGGUGUAGCGGUGAAAUGCGUAGAGAUCUGGAGGAAUACCGAUGGCGAAGGCAGCCAUCUGGCCUAAUACUGACGCUGAGGUACAAAAGCAUGGGGAGCAAACAGG